AACGAACGCUGGCGGCAUGCCUAACACAUGCAAGUCGAACGAGAUCUUCGGGUCUAGUGGCGCACGGGUGCGUAACGCGUGGGAAUCGGCCCUUUGGUUCGGAAUAACAGUUGGAAACGACUGCUAAUACCGGAUGAUGACGAAAGUCCAAAGAUUUAUCGCCAGAGGAUGAGCCCGCGUAGGAUUAGCUAGUUGGUGUGGUAAAGGCGCACCAAGGCGACGAUCCUUAGCUGGUCUGAGAGGAUGAUCAUCCACACUGGGACUGAGACACGGCCCAGACUCCUGCGGGAGGCAGCAGUGGGAGAUAUUGGACAAUGGGCGAAAGCCUGAUCCAGCAAUGCCGCGUGAGUGAUGAAGGCCUUAGGGUUGUAAAGCUCUUUUACCCGGGGUGAUAAUGACAGUACCGGGAGAAUAAGCUCCGGCUAACUCCGUGCCAGCCGCCGCGGUAA
rnacentral:rRNA from 1 species